ensembl:lncRNA
UCACAGGCUAGUUCCAGGGGGAAGGAGAGGCGGACGGUGGCUCCAGAUGGUGUCUGGGCUGGGGAAGGUGCUCUGACCUCUCUGAGUUCAAGGCUGAGACAGGACAAACAUGCCGGUCUUUAAAGGGUGGAAAGGCUGUCCUCAAAAUGAUAAUGAUGACAGCAGGGCUCGUUGAGUGCCUUCUACAUGUGGGGCGACUACUCUAAACACUCACUUUCCGCAUAGCUGAUCCUUAGAACUCUAUUACAUUUCCUAUUCUACAGAAAGGUCCAUUCUGCUCAAGUGUGGUCUUCAGAGUGUUGCUCCACGUUCUCAGUGGGACUCCUGUUCUCUCCCCAUUUUCAUCAUGAGAAAAUGAUGCCUAAGAGUUGAUGGAAAUUCCUCUGAUGUUGGCCGGAAGUCUCUCAGGCUCAUUUGCCUCUUGUGUUAUCUAGUCUGCAGGGCCUAGUUGGGGACUGGAGGAACCACGGUUUUGCAACGGAGAAGGGGAGUGUGCAGCUGCAGGGGCUUCUAGGGAAAAGAUGGGAAGAGACCAAGGGGAUCCUUGAAGUUGCCCCUUCUCCAUCUGUUGCCACUAAAUGCCACCCCUUUGCUACCCCAUUGACACAUCUUGCCCCAGUGCUGUCUUCCCCUGUCUCCUCCACCCUUGCCCACUAUGCUCAGCUGGACUUGGGGCCCCUGUCGUGUGUAAUCAUGGAAAGAGAAGAGCUAGCUUCAGUUAGACACCAAAGAUCCCAGGUGCAGCCUGGCUGUCCCAGGCUGACCACGGAUAGCCACGCAAGUCAGGCUCAUCAGUC